CCCAAUACUCCUACAUACAUGCAUAUAGCCCACUAGGCCCAAUCUUAUUCAAAUGGCCCAUCUGGCUCAGUUCAUAUUCUUAUGGCCCACUAGGCCAAAUUCACCUUCAUGUGGCCCAUUAGGCCCAAAUCAUAUUAUACUCAUGCUCACAUACAAAUUAUCUAACACAUAGCAUCACUUUUCAAUCUUUGCCUUUAUGGGCCCAAUAGCCCAUCAGGCCCAUUUAGC
rnacentral:lncRNA from 1 species